UACGGGGGGGGCAAGCGUUGUUCGGAAUUACUGGGCGUAAAGGGCUCGUAGGUGGCCAACUAAGUCAUACGUGAAAUCCCUCAGCUUAACCGGGGAACUGCGUCUGAUACUGGAUGGCUUGAGUUCGGGAGAGGGAUGCGGAAUUCCAGGUGUAGCGGUGAAAUGCGCAGAUAUCAGGAGGAACACCGGUGGCGAAGGCGGGUCUCUGGGCAGUAACUGACGCUGAGGAGCGAAAGCGUGGGGAGCGAACAGG
rnacentral:rRNA from 1 species